rnacentral:tRNA from 1 species
AGAAACUUAGGUUCAAUUAACAAACCAGAGGCCUUCAAAGCCUCAGACAGGGCUUAUUACCCUAGUUUCUG